rnacentral:ncRNA from 1 species
CUAUAUUUCAUUGACGUAUAAAGUUAAUUACACUAAUUAAACUACAUAUGGCAGUAAACACGCAUUGUGAUAAGCCCAAACCCCACCUACACCUUAAACAGGCGUACCAAGGCCACGGUCAAGACACUACUCAGUAAAUCUUAGGUUUCUACCAAUUACCCACAACACCAAUGUUCUAUAUUACAGUAGCUAGGAAACUAGGCCUUAGAAAUAAAGCAUAAAAAGUGACAAAAGGGGUGCCAGCAGUCGCGGUUACACCCCUACUUUAAGUUAACUGCAACCUAUCUACAGAGGGUCCAUAAAUACCUACCAUAGACUACCAAGCCAACUUGCAACGUAAAAAGAUUAAUUUACAAGCUUAAUUCAAAUAAGUCAUCCAAACCCACCCUAACAAACCACAAAACGAAACUCGGAUUAGAUACCCGACUAUUGCGUGGCCCAACAGAAAAAGAAUACUAAAAGCGAAAGCUCAAACCUCAAACAAUGUGGCGGUACUUUACUCCAUGUCAGGGGAUCCUGUGUCUCAAACCGAUAAUCCACGAACAAUACAAGCUCUUCUAGUAAUCAGCUUGUGUAUGGCCGUUUACGCUUGCUCAGAAAAGACCCAAUAGGAAGCAAAAGAGGAAGCCCUCAACAAUUCAGGUGACAUACAGCCAAUGAAGAGCCGACCAUGGGAUACAAAUAAACAAAAUUACCAAACUAGGCCUCAAAACCCCUACGAAGGAGGACUUGAAAGUAAAAUGGUAUACACAAAGUACAUUUGAACAAGAACUAAAGUGCGCACAAAUCGCCCGUCACUCCUGCGGCUAAAGCGGGAUAAGUCGUAACACAGUAGGGGUAAUGGAAAUUGCCCCUAUCU